AUACGGAGGAUCCAAGCGUUAUCCGGAUUCAUCGGGUUUAAAGGGUCCGCAGGCGGGAAAAUAAGUCAGUGGUGAAAGCCUACAGCUCAACUGUAGAACUGCCAUUGAAACUGUUUUUCUUGAGUAUAGAUGAAGUGGGCGGAAUAUAUCAUGUAGCGGUGAAAUGCAUAGAUAUGAUAUAGAACACCGAUUGCGAAGGCAGCUCACUAAACUAUUACUGACGCUCAGGGACGAAAGCGUGGGGAGCGAACAGGAUUAGAUACCCUAGUAGUCC
rnacentral:rRNA from 1 species